GACGAACGCUGGCGGUAUGCUUAACACAUGCAAGUCGAACGAGAAGUCUUUUAUUGAACCUUCGGGGGAUAUAAGAGACAGACAGUGGCGAACGGGUGAGUAACGCGUGGGCAACCUACCUAUCGGAGCGGGAUAGCCUCGAGAAAUCGGGAGUAAAACCGCAUAACACGGAUAUAUCGCAUGAUGAAUCCGUCAAAACUCCGGUGCCGAUAGAUGGGCCCGCGUCUGAUUAGCUAGUUGGUAAGGUAAGGGCUUACCAAGGCAACGAUCAGUAGCCGGUCUGAGAGGGCGAACGGCCACACUGGAACUGAGACACGGUCCAGACUCCUACGGGAGGCAGCAGUGGGGAAUAUUGCGCAAUGGGGGCAACCCUGACGCAGCAAUACCGCGUGAGUGAAGAAGGUUUUCGGAUCGUAAAGCUCUGUUAUUGGGGAAAGAAAGCAAGGG
rnacentral:rRNA from 1 species